rnacentral:rRNA from 1 species
UACGAAGGGGGCUAGCGUUGCUCGGAAUCACUGGGCGUAAAGGGCUCGUAGGCGGCCAACUAAGUCAGACGUGAAAUCCCUCGGCUUAACCGGGGAACUGCGUCUGAUACUGGAUGGCUUGAGUUCGGGAGAGGGAUGCGGAAUUCCAGGUGUAGCGGUGAAAUGCGUAGAUAUCUGGAGGAACACCGGUGGCGAAGGCGGCCAACUGGACGAGUACUGACGCUGAGGCACGAAAGCGUGGGGAGCAAACAGG